rnacentral:lncRNA from 1 species
UCCCUCUAAACACAUGCCUCCCUCAAAAGGAAAAUCUAAGUCUGUAGUAGUGUCAUUCAUGUCAUUGAUGUCUGGGGACCCAUAAUAAGUACCAAAGAAUAUACAAAAGAAUGUAUAAAUUUAUGAAUAAUUAUUUGUACAAUAUGAUUAUGAAUGAAUGAAUGAUGGUUUGGAAGAAAAUCCAAAAGAAUGAAAGAAUAUAGAAUUAUUCGUAAAGAAUGAAAAUAUUGGCUCAAAAAUAAUCGCAAAGAUGU